ACAUAAAGGACUCCGAACAUAGCUGGCUCCAAAUAGCUCUGCUCUACUAAUCCCUGUGGAAUAAUUAAAAUCUCCUGAACUGAACUGAGCUGAGCUGAACUGAACUGAACUGGGCUGAUCUCAGCUGAAUUGAGCCAGACUUCUGUGGACUGAACUGGACCUGAACCUUAACUGCACCCUGAUGUUUUUCAGUCAGAAGCUUCCUCUGUGGAAGGCACAUGCAUACAUAAAUCUCCCCCCAGCUGAACUGAACUGGUCUGACCUGAAUAAAGCUGGUAACUCACUGGACCUAGUGGAGCCUGGGUUGGAGUUAGAAACUGGACGCCAAAUUGGAUUGUGCUGCUUUUGGAUUAGCAUGGUCCGAUAUGGACAAAACUGGAUUAGACUAGACACAUCUGUUAUCUACUGGCCUAGUCUCUACAUACAUUUACUGGUCUGGUCUGGCCUCCACCACUCCAGACUGGAUUGGACUGAUGGGGUGAGGAUCUUGUGGACCUUUACCAGGCCCACUUAAACAGAUCCAGUGAUCAGGAGAGAAGACACACAUCUGGGACAAACAUCAAAAAGUCAGAGACAAAAGGCACGGAAGAAAAAUCAACAGAU